CAGACGCAUAGAACUAGGCACAAAGCAACACAGUUUUUUUAUUCUUCAGUCUUUUUUUUUUUUAUAUGAGAGAAAUUUACUUUUGUUCGCAUAAGAGCAGACAUACAGCUUGGAUGUGCACAUUGGCUUCAAACUUGGCAGCGUUUUCAGCUGAGCAGCUACUGCUCGGAGCCUGAGACCCAAAUUACCUCUGAUGAAGAACAACUGGUUUCCCACCUUGUUUACUAAUAGUUUUUUAUACCACGGUGAUAUACCUGCAAGAAUAGGACAAAGGAGGCGGCACUUCUCACUAUCUGACUGGGGCCUUUGCAACCACUUCACUGGUGAAGCUUUCUAAAUGAGCCAAGGGUCACAUAUAAUAUUGGCAUUAUAGAUCGAUUGUAAGAAACUGCAGCAGUUAGAGCAAAGCUCAAACAAGAAACCAGACUCGCUGACCUAAAUCAAUCCCAGUCCUUCUGGAUACAGGGCAGUCGACUAGCAUUGACACAACCAGCCAUCAAGUGGAGAGUCUCUGGGAUUGCAAUCUGUGUCAGUUGGAGCCUGUGAGAAUGAAACACUCCACUUUCUGUUAUCCACUUGCUUCUUUUUUCUCCCUUUCUUUCCCUGUAAGCAGCUAUUAAUUGUGCUUGGUUUCUAAGUGUAUAUUUGUGUGGAUUAGUCUGUCUGUAGUGCAGUCCUUAUCUGCUCUAGUUGGAAAUCAGGGCACUAAGUCAGUCUGCUUUAACAGUUGUUUCUUUCUGCGUGAUGCUAUGCAACUAGAAUGGGUUACACUGACAACAAAGGAGGAAGCACAAAGAAUCACUUUAUCUUCUGGGCUGUUACAGGAACAUAACUCUUUUUUUUGAUAUGCCGCCCUCUUUUUCUUUUCUGCUUUUUUUUAAAAAAAUUCAUCUAAUCGAAGAGCCUAACAGACAAUCAUCAUGGAUGUGGUUUUUAAUGAUUUGGAAAAGACAGCCUGUGGAGACUGUGAUUUGAGACAGCAACACAUUUAGGUUAUUGCCAAUUUGAAAUACUUGGUUUGUGAAGCAGAGCCCUAAGGGACAAGCUCAGUAACUGAGAGAAAGAUCGUAGAUAAAGAAAUAAAAAUGACAAGCGUAAUGGAGGUUCUGCAAAAGAGACUGUCAGAGAAUCAGUUCAUGGAUGGCAAUUUCACCAGUCUGAAACUGAAUAAUUCAUAGAAUGAAAUUACCCUGCUUUCACCUUUCCAUUUAAACCGGCAUGAUCUGAAUCUCUAAUAAAUUUUCAAGAUAAAGUAAAACGCCAAUUUGAAUCUAAAGAGCUUUUAAAACCAGAUGCUACAUUCUGAAUCUUUCGAUACCUUUCACAAUUUUCCUGUGAGAACCGCACUUCAUCAUGAAGCACCAUUACCAGUGAAAAUUACUGUGAUUACAAUAGCAACAAUAGAAUAUCAUCAAAUGAUACCUAAUUUUCCUAAUUUACUAAGGCUGACAGUGUGGUUUUAAUGCCCAUCGUGUGUCAUCAUGUCUGGUAUUGGAUCAGUAUCACACUGGAACAAAAAUGUCUUAGUAUAUGCCUCAAUCUUUGCUACUUUUAACUUUGAAAACACAGGAAAAUCUAUAUACAGUGUUAAAAUUUUGCAUUGUAAGCGUGUUUUAAGGAUUAGAUUUUUUGCCAAAUUUGGGACCAGAAAGAAAUUUCCACCUCAUCCCCAUGGCUUGGAUUGUGGUUGGUCCUUUCACUUCCUCUGGAUCAACAAAGAUGGGAUCAUCAGGUGCAGAAAGAUUAAACGACUUACCCAAAGUUAUACAGAAGUUCUGUGGCAAAGUGGGCACAGGUCUCCUGACGUAUUUUAACCACAAGACCCUCUGGAUGUAUUGAGGUAUAAAUGGAGAGAAGAGACAUGCCAUUUGUACCUUGGGAGUACGACUAAAAAUUCAGACUUUCAACACUUGUGGAAGAGCAACUAUCUCAGAAGUACAGGCAAGACAAACCCUAAUUAACCUCUGAGGACUUACAAACAUAUUUUUCUGUUAAAUUAUUUUUAUAUGAAAUUAACAGCAAAUAGGUUUCAAGAAGAUUGAAAAAUUAGCUUCACCUGCUACUGAUUUUCUUCCUAGUUGCAAAGUCUAUUGUUUGAUAUGGCAAGAAAUAAACUGUUAACCAUAAUGCAAAUUAAUGCAUGACUAGAAGGGGACAUAUUUAAUCAUCAAAAGGGCAUUGAUCAGUCGUUGUUCAUCUGAAAAUAAUUCCAUUCCUGUGCUUGUGCAAUUUUACAUGUCAUGAGGCACUUAAUAUGAGCUCUGUAAAUGUAGUCCUCAUUAUCUAAAUCCACAUUCUUAUGACUACAUUUUCUGCACACCUCCAGAAAUUCAUCCAAAGUAUUUGAGAGCACACCCAUAUUUCACAUGACAGUUAACUGUGUGCAGAGAUACUCGGGCAUGUUUUUAAACACUUGCUGAAAUGCUGACAUUUAUCAACAUAUUGGGCAAUUUUGAUGAUAUCCCUAAAUGAGGACCUCAGCUGCAUCUUGCUAUUGGCUAAUUUACAUUCUAUGCUGGUUAAGAACGUGAACCCUUUUCAGGAAAACUUUCUGGCCCAGAAGUUAUCUCUUGGGAAAAAUAAUUCUUGUCC